rnacentral:snRNA from 1 species
GGAUAUGAGGGUGACCUGGCUGUAACAUCAGUCACCCCCUUGAUUGCCAGGGUUGAUUCAGCUGACCUGGCUGGCUAGGCAGAUGUCCCCUUCCCCCCUCACUGAUCCAUGUGCAUUACUGCCGAAGCUGUGAGCUCAGUCAAAGAGGACGACCUUCCCUCCAGAGGAGAGGACUGGUCUUUAGGCAAGGGUACAUGUUC